rnacentral:rRNA from 1 species
UACGGGGGGAGCAAGCGUUGUUCGGAUUUACUGGGCGUAAAGGGCGCGUAGGCGGUCAGCACAAGUCAGUUGUGAAAUCUCCGGGCUUAACUCGGAAAGGUCAACUGAUACUGUGCGACUAGAGUGCAGAAGGGGCAAGCUGGAAUUCUCGGUGUAGCGGUGAAAUGCGUAGAUAUCGAGAGGAACACCUGCGGCGAAGGCGGGUUGCUGGGCUGACACUGACGCUGAUGCGCGAAAGCCAGGGGAGCGAACGGG